ACAUGGGUGCACUCUGUCUAUGGCAUCAUGUUAAUCAUGCUGGAUGAACAAGAAAUGGCAAAUAUGUUAGAGAACUUGAUAAGGUGUUUCCAGUAUUCAAAUCCAUCCUAACUAAAGGAAGAAUUGCCAUUCCAAUGAACGCAUUCCACAGGUGGAGGAGAGUGGAGGGGAGUAAGAUUAGAAGCAAGGAUACCAGUAGGAUGCAGUUACAGCAAUCCAGGUGGC